GGCUUAGAUAUUGAUUGUGACCCAUCACUAUCAAAUCAACUAAGUCCACCACGCUAUUGAGGAUCAGCUCGAUGGCUCGAUGGAGAAAAUUAUAUACUUGUAAAUCGGUGUAGGCCUAAAAUUAGCCAUCACUCUGAGUUUGUUACAAAAUAGCUUAACAUUUAAGUUAAAAUAAAACUACUUUAUCCCCAUUUAAAAUGAAGAUAAAAUUUUUAACCAGCUUUUAUUUAUGCCUAUGCUAGGAUGAGUAUCAAAAUUUUUCUCAAAGCUUAUACUAUUAUAUUCAUAAGUUAUUGAUAAAUAUUAAAAAUAUUAAUUAAAAAAAAGGAACUCGGCAAAUUGUGUCACUUCGCCUGUUUAUCAAAAACAUGGUUCCUCGAUUGAUAAAAAUGAUGAAUCGGACCUGCCCAGUGAAAAUUUAACGGCCGCGGUACUCUGACCGUGCAAAGGUAGCAUAAUCAUUUGCCUUAUAAUUGAAGGCUAGUAUGAAUGGUUUGACGUGGGUGACGCUGGCUCUUUUAUAUUUUUUAUAAAUUAACCUUUAGGUGAAAAGGCCUAAAUUUAAUUAAAGGACAAGAAGACCCUGUCGAGCUUAAAAGUUUAAAAAGAAAUCAUUAUUAAUAAAAUUUAUCUCUUUUAUAACUUUUUAGUUGGGGCGACUAAGGAACAAAUAAAGCUUCUUCCACCAAAACAGCCAAUGAGCCAAGAUCCAGUUUACUGAGCAAGAAAAUUAGUUACCGCAGGGAUAACAGCAUAAUCUCUCUUGAGAGACCAAAUCGAAAGGGGGGGUUGUGACCUCGAUGUUGGACUAGAAUAUCCUAAAGAUGCAGACGUCUUUGAAGGUUGGUCUGUUCGACCAUUAAAAUUCU
rnacentral:rRNA from 1 species